rnacentral:rRNA from 1 species
GGACCCGCACAAGUAGUGGAGCAUGUGGUUUAAUUCGAAGAUACGCGCAGAACCUUACCAACACUUGACAUGUUCGUCGCGACUUUAAGAGAUUAAAGUUUUCGGUUCGGCCGGACGAAACACAGGUGCUGCAUGGCUGUCGUCAGCUCGUGUCGUGAGAUGUUGGUUAAGUCCCGCAACGAGCGCAACCCUCACUUUUAGUUGCCAUCAUUAAGUUGGGCACUUUAAGGAAACUGCCGGUGAUAAGCCGGAGGAAGGUGGGGAUGACGUCAAGUCCUCAUGGCCCUUACAGGCUGGGCUACACACGUGCUACAAUGGCGAUGACAGUGGGCAGCGACCCCGCAAGGGUGAGCUAA